rnacentral:rRNA from 1 species
UACAGAGGUCUCAAGCGUUGUUCGGAUUCAUUGGGCGUAAAGGGUGCGUAGGUGGCGCGGUAAGUCGGGUGUGAAAUCUCGGAGCUUAACUCCGAAAUUGCAUUCGAUACUGCCGUGCUCGAGGACUGGAGAGGAGACUGGAAUUCAUGGUGUAGCAGUGAAAUGCGUAGAUAUCAAGAGGAACACCAGUGGCGAAGGCGAGUCCCUGGACAACUUCUGACGCUGAGGCACGAAAGCUAGGGGGAGCAAACAGG